rnacentral:rRNA from 1 species
UGCCAGCCGCCGCGGUAAUACAGAGAUGGCAACCGUUGUUCGGAAUCACUGGGCUUAAAGCGCACGUAGGCGGGUAGAUAAGUUGAUUGUGAAAGCCCAUGGCUUACCCAUGGAAUAGCAGUCAAAACUGUCAACCUAGAGAGCAGGAGGGGAGAGUGGAACUCCUAGUGGAGCGGUGAAAUGCGUUGAUAUUAGGAGGAACACCGAUGGCGAAAGCGACUCUCUGGUCUGAUACUGACGCUGAGGUGCGAAAGCUAGCGGAGCAAACGGGAUUAGAAA